GUGCUAUACAUGCAGUUGAGCGCUGAAGGUUGGUACUUGUACCGACUGGAUGAGCAGCGAACGGGUGAGUAACGCGUGGGGAAUCUGCCUUUGAGCGGGGGACAACAUUUGGAAACGAAUGCUAAUACCGCAUAAAAACUUUAAACACAAGUUUUAAGUUUGAAAGAUGCAAUUGCAUCACUCAAAGAUGAUCCCGCGUUGUAUUAGCUAGUUGGUGAGGUAAAGGCUCACCAAGGCGAUGAUACAUAGCCGACCUGAGAGGGUGAUCGGCCACAUUGGGACUGAGACACGGCCCAAACUCCUACGGGAGGCAGCAGUAGGGAAUCUUCGGCAAUGGACGAAAGUCUGACCGAGCAACGCCGCGUGAGUGAAGAAGGUUUUCGGAUCGUAAAACUCUGUUGGUAGAGAAGAACGUUGAUGAGAGUGGAAAGCUCAUCAAGUGACGGUAACUACCCAGAAAGGGACGGCUAACUACGUGCCAGCAGCCGCGGUAAUACGUAGGUCCCGAGCGUUGUCCGGAUUUAUUGGGCGUAAAGCGAGCGCAGGUGGUUUAUUAAGUCUGGUGUAAAAGGCAGUGGCUCAACCAUUGUAUGCAUUGGAAACUGGUAGACUUGAGUGCAGGAGAGGAGAGUGCAAUUCCAUGUGUAGCGGUGAAAUGCGUAUAUCUAUGGAGGAACAUCGGUGGUUAAAGCGGCUCUCUGGCCGGUAGCUGACCCUGAUUGUUGACCGCGUGGGGAGACACAGGGUUAGAUACACUGGAAAGACACGCUGUAGACAACGAUUGCCCGCUGUAUGGAUACACAAUUCCUCUGUAUCGCAGCAAAUGCACUCUGCUCUCCUGCAGGCGAGUCCAACCGUUUCGUUGCACUCAUGGUAGAGACAGUGCCCCUUCACACCCGACUUAGCAAGCCACCUGCUCUCGCUUUACGCCCAGUAACAUUCAGGACGACGUCGAGGACUCUACGUAUUACCUCGAG
rnacentral:rRNA from 1 species